UACAGCACGCAUGAAGAUGAGAAAGGUAUGUAUGGACUUAUCUAACUCUGGGGGAUACGGUGAAUAAGCUAAAUUCCCAAAAUCUGGGCGUGUUCCUUUAAAAGACCAUAUAGAUGAAGGCAGGAAGAUAAAAUGCCCUUUUAAGAGCUGUGAGAGGACAUUUAGUGUUAACUUCACAUUUGCUUCUCAUGUCUCAAGAAUACAUAAAAACAACAAUGUUUUGAAAUCUGUUGUAUUUGUUCAAUAAAUGUUGACUGUUAUAUUUUCUCUUACAUUUUAUAUUUCUUGUUUUUAAGAUUAUUUUUAGGUGAAAUCCUCAAUGCAACUCAGUGGAUGCUGAGUAUGGACGGUCAGGUGGUUGUGAAUCCACACCCCAACCUUGUGGCUUCAACCUGGUUUACCAGAGGGAGGCAUCCUCCACACUUGAAUUUGUUCAAAGAUGUUUUGUUGGAAUCACAGCUACCACUGGCAUCAAGACAGCAUCAAGAGGCAAAAAAGUGGAAACGCCUCUGAGAAGAGAAACAACACCAUCAACCCUCAUGUGUGUACUCUUUUCAGAAAAUUAUUGGACUUUGAAUGGUUACACAUGUAAGUUCUUGUUCAUGUAUAAAGACCAAAACAUGUUGUAAAUAGGCCAGUUCUGUGAUUGAACACUUGUGUUUCUAGACAUACAAGUUAUGUCAUGUUCUAACACAGAUUCAACAAGAUCUUAAAUGUAACACAAACCGUGUUUAGAUGUUUUAUAGAUGCCAUUGUUUUAGAAUAUUCAGGAUUGAGUGGAAUAGUUGCUGAAACAACAUCAUUUUUUUGAAAGUACUUUGCUGUCAGUUUUAAUAAAUGUUGUUCUUGAAGCA